GAGCAUUUUAAUGUGGUAUUUUAAUAGUUAAUUCCUCACAUUUUGCUUAGUUAAUUCCUUAACGAAUCGAUUUUUAACUCAAUUUCUAUUUUCUUAGGUACAUUGGAGUAAAUGAUGGUGAAAUAAGCAUUAGGUCCACACUUACCUAUAAAUGGUGGAGAAAAAUGGAAAUGUACUAAAAUGUCAAUUUUACACAUUUUCCUACUCCGGCUAGGAGAAACCAAGCCAAGCAAGGAAGAAGGAGCGGCCGCCGGACCAAAUGAACUUUAAAUGAGCUGAAACUUUCCAGAUCCAUUCUAGACAGCCCAAGGAUCAUUUCUUAUGAAGAGUGCAAGAACUUUUGUUGAGUGGAAGGCCUUCAAACAAUCAACCCAAUUUUCUACAGAAGCAAAACUGGAAAACUGGACCUGUAAGAGGUCCAGCAGCAUUUUCGGCCCAACCACAUGGAAUAAAAAUCUGAAAUUUUACCAGGGUGAUCUACACUCAUAAUGGAACAUUUUUUAUGAAGAGGUCAUAGUGAAAUUGGGAAUGCUUGUUGGAGAAAUAAUUGAAGGAAUAAAGGGGCAGAAACUGAUCUAAAAAACAGCUCAACAUCACAUGUUCAUGUUUCCUACCCACAUGAAGAAAGCUAGAUGCUUUUCUCUUUUUCCUUGGAUAUAUUUUUCUGCUCCAAUAGAUCAUCAUCACUUCCAUACUUCUACACCUUCAUGCCUUGCUUUCAUUUCAUCAUUACUCCAUCUUUUCCAUAUUUUACAAACCACUUUCAUUAUUUUUCUUCCAUUUAUCAUUUCACUCUUCUUUUUCUUCCCUAUAUAAACACCUUCUCCUCUCACUCUAAACAAAUUCCUUCAUCCAUUUCAUCUUCUUUGUCUCUCCAUUUCCAUUCCAUUUUUCUCUCCAUUCUCUAGUUGCAAAAUUCUGCGUUUUCAAGUAAGAAGAAGAAGAAGAAGAAGGAGCCGGGAAUAUCAUAUCCUCCAUCGUCCACCUUGAAGGCUUGCUUCCAAGAUUCAAGAUUUCAACGUUUCAAGCACUCCAUCUCCAUCUCCAACUCACGGUACCGUCUGGCUGCAAGACGUAAAAUACAAGCGCUGCUUGGGAGGCAACCCAAUUCAGAAUAUAAUCAGAUUUGCUUUCUCUUCCCCUUUUACUCCUCCAUUUUCUUUUUGUUUUAGUAGUUAUUUUCGUAAAUUCCAUCACUAUAUGCUUACUUAUUUCAUUGCAUGCUUUUAAUUGAUUACAUUGAGGAUAAUGCAAUAUUUAAGUGUGGGGGAAGGGAUUUAUAUUUUUGUCUUUCAUUUUGAAUCCUAUAAAUAUUUUUGUCUUUCAUUUUGUGUCCUAUAAAUAUUUUUGAGUCCUAUAUUUUUUAAUAAUAAUAAAAAAAAAUAAAAAAAAAUAAAAAUAAAAUAAAAAUAAAAAUAAAAAUAAAAUAAAAUGCAUUCAUUCUGUCUUAUUAAAUUCAGCUUUUUACAAAAAAAAAAUAAUAAUAAUAAAAAAAAAAAUUUAAAAAAAAAAUAAUAAUAAAAAAAAAAAAAAAAAAAAAAAAAUGCAUUCAUUCAGUCUUAUUAAUUUCAGCUAUUUACAAAAAAAAAAAAAUAAUAAUAAUAAUAAUAAUAAUAAUAAAAAAUAAUAAUAAUAAUAAUAAUAAUAAUAAUACUCUAUACUAAGCCAUGUCUGCAUCUCUGUAGGAGUUGAGGCUGAGCUCAAGGGAAAUGUGAGAGCCACCGCCAUAACCGCUACCUCCCUCGGAAGUAGUCUUCAUGAUGCCCAAGAUGUCCUCACCAUGCAUGGGGAACAAUGGAAGAGUUUCAAUCUCCUGGUGAUCUCCUCCUCGUUGUUGCAGGGAUGUUUGUCCUCCUGUUGUGCCAAAAGAGUUGUACUGGUAUUAGUGUUGAAGUGUGAGGAAGAAUAUGAAACAAAAUUUAAAUCAAGAAAUCCUUCAUUACCAGUAGAAUCGGUGGAACCAAAGUUGAGAUUAAUGGAUCUACCAUCAUCAGUAGAACUAGUGGACCCAAAAUUGAUGUCAAUGGAUCCACCAGCUGGCCCAAAAUUGAUGUCGAUGGAUCCACCAGCACCAGUAGAACCAGUGGACCCAAAAUUGAGAUCAAUGGAUCCACCAGUACCAGGAGAACUAGUUCCCAUGGGCACUUGAGCAGCCUGAUUGCACCUCUUCAUCUGCUUCUCUCGAGCCCUGACAUUCUGGAACCAAAAAUAAAUGUUCUUGCCCUCAACAUGUCUAUACUGGUUCAGCUGGAGACAGAUCUCGUGAAUAUGCUCUGUAGUUGGGCGCUUAACUCCCUUGUCGUAGUAAAGAUCCUUGAGGAUCCUUAUUUGAUCUGGAGUAGGAACCCACCUGGCACGGCUUCGCCAGAAAUCUGUGUUGGCACUACUCCCGGCUGCUUGGUUGUUUCCUCCAUCCUCGAUUUGUUGCUGGGUUUGUAGCUCCAUCAGUUGCAGAGUUCGUGGUUCCAUGGUGAUGGGUUGAGGGGAUGUGAAGAUCGAAGAGUAAAGUUGUCGAGUGUUUGAAGGAGUUGUUGUUAAAGGGAUUAAGGAUGAUGAUGGUGUGUUGGAGAUCUGAAAGUUCAGAGGAAAGAUGGGAUUGAAUCAACUAGAUGGGAGAGAAGAUCAGAAGAGAAGGAUUGAAUCGAAGAAGAAAUAUUUUGAGUUUUGAAAGAAGAGGAAAAGCUGAAGAGUUGGGAGAGAGGGGCUGGAACUCAGGAGAGAUUUUCGUUCCUUUGGAGUGAACAGUUGCGCCCUCAGAAUGCACCUAUUUAUAGAGCGAGGUGAGCAGAUCUCCACCGUUGGAUGGACGAUUCCUGUGAUUCAUUCUACGCGUUGGAUUAAAGUCGCCCUGAAACCCGGAAAAGUUGUUGGCGCGUGGAGAGCGUGUAAGGGGACCGAGGGAAUCUCGAGGCGCUGUGGCGGACAGCUGUAGCCGAAAGCAGAUUUGACUGCCGUAAAUCACGGAAGGGAUAAGCCGUGACACAAGUGGGCCGUACUUGGGCCUGUCUCGGAUCAAGGCAUCACUGUAGCUGUGGGUGGAGGCCUGAUGGGCCGAGUUUCUGAAACAGUUUUGGAUGAGUUGGGCCGGAUUUCUGUAACAGUUUUGGAUACGUUGGGCCGAGUUUCUGAAACAGUCUUGGAUGUUUUGUGCCGAAUUGUUGAAACAGUUGAAACAGUUGGUUUAAAUAAAAGGAUUGGUAUGGAUAAUAACGUGAGCAGCCGUGCUCGAGUGGUUGAGUGUAAAGUUCGUGUACAAGAGGUCUGAGGUUCGAACCUCGCCUCUCGUUUAUUUUUAUUAUGUUCGUUUAUGACAUAAUAAGUAUAAAAUUUGUACACAUUAUAUUAAGCACAGCUUGUGCUCCAGUGGUUGGGGACAAAGGUUUCGUGUAGCAGGGUAAGGUUUCGAACCUUGCCUCCCCCGUUUUUUUUUUUUUUUAUUUAUGUCACUCCAUCAGAACCCUCCUCCGAAGGCUGAAACCAGCAAGAAGGCUGCCACUCGCCCGCAUACCGCUCCUCCAAAGGAGUAAAUGGAGGUACAAGUCUAGGCUGAAAGACUUUAAACAUUAAGCGCUGCAUGGGAGGCAACCCAUUUCAACCGUAGCUGUGGAGGAGCCAUCAACGCAGAUUUGCUCUCUUAAACUCUAUCUCCUCUAUUACUAUUUUCUGAUUGUAUCUUUGUUAUUUGCGUUUUUAGUUUUUGUUUUUAGGUUUUCUUGAGUUAAUCAUUCCAUUCACAUGAUAAUUGUUCAUUGCAUGCUCUAACUUGUUUAACAUUGAGGACAAUGUAUGAUUUAAGUGUGGGGGGAAGGAUUAAUGCUUGUAGUUAGUUUUUGUCAUAAAAAGAAAACAAAACAAAAAAAUCGAAAAAUGUCAGAAAUAUAAAAAAUUUCGUUGCUUUUGUUUUUGUUUUGAGUCUUAGGAUGCCUUUCAACUGUCUGGGAUGAUUCUAUAUCUCUGAAAUCAUGACUAAAAGAGGAUCACAACAUUGAGAUGAUUUUAAACAUGGUAUUCUUUGGUUAAUUGAGAUAUAUGAAAAAUGUGUGCCUUGUAGUGGAUAUGGAUUGCAUGACCUUGGUACAGAAUAUGAGCAUGUUAAGAUGAGUUGUGAUUCAUAAAGCCAUGUGAGAUAAUUGAACCAUGUCCCUUUUUCUUGGAGUGAAAUGAAAAAUAUAUUCUUAAUUUCUUGGCGAUGUUUUGAUGAUCUCAUUAUUCUUUCAUCUUGAUUGACUGCUUGCCAUAGAUUAAGUUUAAUGGACUAGAGAAUGCUAGAAUUUGCUCUUGUGCUUGUUGAGACGUGAUAUCAAUACAUGGCCCUGAUUCUGGAAGGGAUAGAGGUUCUCUAGGAAUUACCACCAUUGCCAAAUAAACUUGUGUCCCCAUUUGUGCCCGUCGUGGGACCCCCCUAGAUAAGCCCCUUUGAGCCUACUUUGAGCCUUUUCGUUCAUCACCCUUAAAAUCCUUAACCAUGAAGCUUAGUAUAGUUACAACCCUACCCUUGGUUCUAAGGACUUAGUGGAGCUAUCUUUUGAGACAUACUACAUGAGUUUGGUGCUAAGGAUGAAGAUUGAGAAGAGGUGAAAGUUCAAGUGUAGGGAUAGACUUGUCCAUAAAGAAAAAGAUAUGUUGAAGCCGUGAAAAAUGAAAAGAAAAGAGAAAAAUUGUGUACGGCUAAAAAGAAAAAGAAAAAAAUAUAUAUAUAUGUUUAUGGACUUUCAUCCCCCAUACUUAGUGAUUUUGGAGUUUGCUUUGAAUUGAAGGCCCACUACAGAAAAAUUUGGCCUUUGUCCAUUUCACUAGAGUUCAAGGGAAGUUUAUAUUGAAGAUUGGGCCCAACAUGAAGACAUUUGGCCCUCUUAUAUUACCUCUAUGGGGAAGUGACGUUUUUGCAAUGCCUUGGUGAAAUAUUUCGAGAUCUCUACAUUCAUAUGAGCUCUACUAGGUUUUUAGGACACUUUGAUAAUCCUUACCUUUCAUUUCUUUAAACCUUGAGCCUUAGCCCCAUUACAACCUUUGAGAGGACCUUCUUGAUCCUUAAGAUGGGACAGCCUUUGAUGUGGAGAUGAGUUACAAGAGUUGAACCUAUGGCUUGGGUCCAUUCGUGCAAGUAGUUGAUAUCCUUCAUGAGAUCUUUUGAAAAAAAAAAUUAUAUUCACAAAGUGCUUUUCGUUUCUUAUAUAUGUGAGCUAUUUGACUGCCUUAAAAUAUGUUCUCUCACAUAUAAAUGAGUGAUUAUAAGCUUUUAAGCAUUGCCUUGAUCUGAGAGAAGAAAAAGUGGAUAUACCUUGUGAGGAUAUGAAUCAUACUUGUCUGAAGCAUGCUAAGCUAAACCCCAAUCACCAUUAUUACAACCAAGUCCUACUUGUGUAUGUGUGGAUCAUAUGUUUUAAUUAACUCUCGAAUGCUUAACAUUGAUUCUUGGUUGAGUGCUAAUCUUGGUGUUGUGAAAGUAAGAGAUUUCUGAGACAAUAUGUUAAAGGGCAAUAGAGGUCUUUGUGAUGUCAACAUCUUGGUCUUUGUCUUUGAAUUUACUCUUUUAUGUGUGACGUUUUUUUUUUUUUUCUUUGUGUUUUGCUUUGUGUUUUACGUUUUUGGUUUCUUUGAGUCUUUCUGUUUUUGUUUCCAUACUUAGUCAUUUUUUUCGUUGGUUUCUUUGUUUUGUGUCAUAGUCUUUUUGGUUUGUUAGUUUUUGAUUUUGCUAAGGGACUAGCAAAAGCUAAGUGUGGGGGAAUUUGAUAGGAGCAUUUUAAUGUGGUAUUUUAAUAGUUAAUUCCUCACAUUUUGCUUAGUUAAUUCCUUAACGAAUCGAUUUUUAACUCAAUUUCUAUUUUCUUAGGUACAUUGGAGUAAAUGAUGGUGAAAUAAGCAUUAGGUCCACACUUACCUAUAAAUGGUGGAGAAAAAUGGAAAUGUACUAAAAUGUCAAUUUUACACAUUUUCCUACUCCGGCUAGGAGAAACCAAGCCAAGCAAGGAAGAAGGAGCGGCCGCCGGACCAAAUGAACUUUAAAUGAGCUGAAACUUUCCAGAUCCAUUCUAGACAGCCCAAGGAUCAUUUCUUAUGAAGAGUGCAAGAACUUUUGUUGAGUGGAAGGCCUUCAAACAAUCAACCCAAUUUUCUACAGAAGCAAAACUGGAAAACUGGACCUGUAAGAGGUCCAGCAGCAUUUUCGGCCCAACCACAUGGAAUAAAAAUCUGAAAUUUUACCAGGGUGAUCUACACUCAUAAUGGAACAUUUUUUAUGAAGAGGUCAUAGUGAAAUUGGGAAUGCUUGUUGGAGAAAUAAUUGAAGGAAUAAAGGGGCAGAAACUGAUCUAAAAAACAGCUCAACAUCACAUGUUCAUGUUUCCUACCCACAUGAAGAAAGCUAGAUGCUUUUCUCUUUUUCCUUGGAUAUAUUUUUCUGCUCCAAUAGAUCAUCAUCACUUCCAUACUUCUACACCUUCAUGCCUUGCUUUCAUUUCAUCAUUACUCCAUCUUUUCCAUAUUUUACAAACCACUUUCAUUAUUUUUCUUCCAUUUAUCAUUUCACUCUUCUUUUUCUUCCCUAUAUAAACACCUUCUCCUCUCACUCUAAACAAAUUCCUUCAUCCAUUUCAUCUUCUUUGUCUCUCCAUUUCCAUUCCAUUUUUCUCUCCAUUCUCUAGUUGCAAAAUUCUGCGUUUUCAAGUAAGAAGAAGAAGAAGAAGAAGGAGCCGGGAAUAUCAUAUCCUCCAUCGUCCACCUUGAAGGCUUGCUUCCAAGAUUCAAGAUUUCAACGUUUCAAGCACUCCAUCUCCAUCUCCAACUCACGGUGUAAUUCAUUCUUUUUCCUUAUUUAAUUUCGUAGGAAUUUGUUUCUAGUUAACAAUAACAUUAAGGGCAAAGUUUAAGCCCAAUUUCUAUGUUUGAAUAAAAAUUGUGAUUUCUUUA